AGAAUCUCACUUCCAUAACGCUU
rnacentral:snRNA from 1 species